rnacentral:rRNA from 1 species
AUUGAACGCUGGCGGCAUGCCUUACACAUGCAAGUCGAACGGCAGCGGACCUUCGGGUGCCGGCGAGUGGCGAACGGGUGAGUAAAGUAUCGGAACGUACCUUUCAGUGGGGGAUAACGUAGCGAAAGUUACGCUAAUACCGCAUAUUCUGUGAGCAGGACAGCAGGGGAUCGCAAGACCUUGCGCUGAUUGAGCGGCCGAUAUCAGAUUAGCUAGUUGGUGAGGUAAAGGCUCACCAAGGCGACGAGCUGUAGCGGGUCUGAGAGGAUGAUCCGCCACCCUGGAACUGAGGCACGGUCCACACUCCUACGGGAGGCAGCAGUGGGGAAUUUUGGACAAUGGGGGCAACCCUGAUCCAGCCAUGCCGCGUGAGUGAAGAAGGCCUUCGGGUUGUAAAGCUCUUUCGUCCGGGAAGAAAUCGCAUCAGCUAAUACCUGGUGUGGAUGACGGUACCGGAAUAAGAAGCACCGGCUAACUACGUGCCAGCCGCCGCGGUAAUAC